UUUCCUUUAUUAAUUUUUUUUAGUUCCUUUCCCGAAACAAAUAAGGCAAAAAUAGACAAGUUCUUUACCAUUUCUGAUCAGAAAAAAUUGCAAAAAUUGCCUCGAUACUUCAUCCUCUCUAUCCCUUAUCAAACUAAAGAACAGGGUUUUGGUUGAUGAGUUUCACUGUCAUGCAUCUCUAUUGGGAUUUGUGAACAAAUUCCAGUGAAGAUGGCGACAAGUCGAAAUGGAACUUCAUUUGUCAAAACAAAAAGGAUGGAAGGGUUCAGUGAUCAUCUCACAUUUGCAGCUUGCGAGUGGUUUUUGAUAUUCUUGUUGCUGCUGGAUUCGUUGUUAUCGUAUCUUCUCAAAAAGUUUGCGAGUUAUUGCAAGUUGCAGUUGCCUUGUUUGUUAUGUUCUAGGCUUGAUCAUAUCUUAGACGGUGAAAAGCCGGAGUUUUAUCAUAACUUAUUUUGUGGAAAUCACAAAGUGGAGAUGUCGUCUAUGAUUUUGUGUCAUGUUCACAGUAAGCUUGCGGAUGGUCAUAGGAUGUGCGAUGAUUGUCUUUUGUCGCUUAGUACAAACGCCAAGCGCAACACGAAAACUCAUCGGUUGUUGGCCGGUAAAUUUGGUGUUGUUAUGGGUGGUUCUGGUUAUCAGAACUCGUCGUUGAGCCGAGCUUUGUUUAGUGGACCUAAGGGAUCGAGGCCGUGUAGUUGUUGUGGUAAGCUUUGGAAGUUAGAACAGAAUGGUUUGAGACCCCACUUAAAAUCGACUGGGAGAGCUGUUCUUAAGCCGCACGUUCCUUUGCCGCGUGCACCGAGACAAAGCCGUUUAAAUCGUCGCGAUAGCAUGAAGAAAGUAAGAGAGAAAACUUGUGAAACUGAAGAAAAAAGAAGCUUUCAUCCUUCGUCUCAUCUUGGAUAUACUGUGUUGAGACUUACUUCGGAUUCUGAGUCUGAGUUUCAAUUUUCUGAUGAUGAAGAUGAUGUUGGUAAGGUCUUUCAUGAAAAAAUUGAAGCUAGCAAUGCCAACAUUACCCAAAAUGUAUCAGAAACGUCGACAGAACAUGCAACGGGUGAUUUGAGUCCAACAAAGCCAAAGCCUAGUUCCCCCAAACAUGUGGAAGAAAUUAACUGCCCGCAAGCAGAUCAAAUUUCAUCAAGUUUUGACCUACAUGAGCUCAUUUCACUAGAUCAAGUUUCACCAUUUCAUGUUGUUAAUCAAGAACCAGAACGAGAAUCAGAAGAAUGUAAGAUUACUGAUCAUUCUGAGAAUUCUCUUCCUGAUGACCUAUCUGAGCUCAUGACUUUUGAAGGGUAUCACACACCUGUCAGAGACUCAUCGGAAAGAUCUGUAGAUAUUACACAAGAAGAUGAUACUGGAUUUGAAUCCGAAAAGAACGCGGAAGUCACAGAAAAUAUAGAUAGAAAGGAAGAUGCAUCUACUGAAAUAGAUUCGAUGGCAUGCGACCCCGCUCCUCAAAGUCCCACACAAGAGAAUCCAAGAGAAGUACUUGAUUUUGACACAGAACAACCAUCACAUAGUUCUUCUCUCCAUGAUUCAUCAGUUGUUCCCACAACCCAUGUUCACUCCCCUGAGAUAAAUGCCGAGACACCAAAAUCUGGUAAUGAAUCUCUGGAUGGAAGCAGUAUGACGGAAAUUGAAGGUGAAUCCAUUGUUGAUCAAUUGAAGCGACAAAUUGAGUAUGACAAAAAAUGCAUGGAUGAUUUACAGAAAGAACUAGAGGAAGAAAGAAAUGCUUCUGCUAUUGCCGCCAACGAAGCAAUGUCUAUGAUCACAAGGUUACAGGAGGAGAAGGCGACAUUGCAAAUGGAGGCUCUUCAAUACUUAAGAAUGAUGGAAGAACAAGCAGAAUAUGAUAAUGAAGAAUUCGAAAAAGUUAAUGAUCUACUCACAGAAAAGGAAAAAGAAAUACAAGAUUUGGAAGCCGAGUUAGAAUAUUAUAUGUUAAACUCAAACCUAACGGAUGAGCCUACGGUUCAUAAAAUGCAUGAGAAAAGUAGGGAUUCAAAGGAGGAAAGUGUAAUGGCACAAAAUAUUUGUUUUCAUAAUAUCACAGAUACGGUAAACAAUAUUCCCAAUUCAAAAUUGUCUGAGGAAUCCAAAGGGAGUCACGAAGUUGUGGACGGUGAAACCUCUGUGUUAGAAUUUGAAGAGGAAAAGCAAUACAUUUCACAUAGUUUGAAAUGCUUGGAAAAGAAACUUCAUCAAAUAUCUUUUAACAAGGUUUCUUCCGAAGCGUCUAAUGUUGGACUUGAAAAGCUUGAAAUUAGUAAAUUGAAUCAACAAGGAGAUUCUUACAGUGAAGGGCCCCAUUUAGAUGGUCAUGAGGAGACUGAUUUGUUCAUACCAAACAGUCGAACGAUGAAUGGAAGUCAUGAUGAUAAGGACGACUCAGCAGCAUCAGAUAAUGAUGAUUGUUCUCUAAGUAUUGAAAACAAUGAUUCCAUGUCUGUAGUAGAACCACAAUCUUCCAAAUCUAGAAGAGAAACAAAUUUGAUUUCUCUAGAAAAUGAAAUAUCAGACCUUCAUGAUCGGUUAGAGGCACUCGAAUUUGAUCAUGAUCUUAUUGAGCAUAUAACAAAUUCUCUUCAAAAUGGAAAUGAUGGCAAAAAAUUUAUUCAAGACAUAGCUCACCAAUUGCGCGAGCUACGGAAAAUUGGAAUGAGAUCAAGAUGACAUACAAAGAAUGGUGGACAGGUUAUUUUGCCUAGAGGAGAUUGUUGGAUGAUUACGAAGAUUGAUGAACAAACUUAGUAAAUUCUUAUUUCAGAUGUAUGCAUGAUCAUGCAGAAUCAGGAAACAGAAAAAAUCACCAAAUCAUGUAUUAUUCUUUUGAUGUCUGUAUAAUUAUGGAAAUCCAUGAGAUAAUGCAAAAAGCAUCUCCACACAUGCUCUGAACAAGUUUAUAUUUAACUAUAGAGUAGUAAUAGGAAUAACACACUUUGGUUUUGAACUCUUGAGCCUUCUUUCCUUAUGAUUUUCCCUCUAGUUCUGUAUUUUGUCAACUGAAUAGAAGAUGGAGUUUUUGAUCAUUGCAAAGAUGAUUUCUAAAUAAAGCAAUGUUAUAAUUUUUCAGUA